rnacentral:rRNA from 1 species
GAUGAACGCUGGCGGCGUGCCUAAUACAUGCAAGUCGAGCGAACGGACGCGAAGCUUGCUUCUCUGAUGUUAGCGGCGGACGGGUGAGUAACACGUGUAUCACCUACCUAUAAGACUGGGAUAACUUCGGGAAACCGGCGCUAAUACCGGAUGAUAUUUUGCACCGCAUGGUUCAAUAGUGAAAGACGGUCUUGCUGUCACUUAUCGAUGGAUCCGGGCUGCAUUAGCUAGUUGGUAAGGUAACGGCUUAUCAAGGCAACGAUGCAUAGCCGACCUGAGAGGGUGAUCGGCCACACUGGAACUGAGACACGGUCCAGACUACUACGGGAGGCAGCAGUAGGGAAUCUUCCGCAAUGGGCGAAAGCCUGACGGAGCAACGCCGCGUGAGUGAUGAAGGUCUUCGGAUCGUAAAACUCUGUUAUUAGGGAAGAACAUAUGUGUAAGUAACUGUGCACAUCUUGACGGUACCUAAUCAGAAAGCCACGGCUAACUACGUA